AGACGAAUACAGCAAUUUAUUACCUACAUUAUUAUUAUGCGUUUCGUAUAGGUACUCAAUUAAAAAGUGAAAAUGUGAAAUCAUAUUCUUGGGACUAUCUCAACAAUACGCUAAAUAUAAAAUACACUAUGGUUAGGUUCCAAUACACUGCGAUAUAAUUCAUUUUGAUUUAACCAAUUUACCAGAAUAAAAUAUAAUACCGGUACGUCAAAAAAUUAAAACAUUACCACGUGUUGUCGUGUUGAAUACAUUUUUUAUCUAAUUACUCGGUUAAAUAUUAAUCAACUUCCAAAUAUUAAAUACAAUAAAAAUGCGAUAUGAACACAAACAAAAGUAGUUUAUGCGUAGGCAGGGGUAUACUAUUAUAGUGAUAUGCUUUAUUAUAGUUGUUUUUCAAAAACUACCUACCUGGGAAUCAAUUAUCACCUAAUUUAAGAAAAUAAAAUUAGAUUUACUGUUAAAAUAGGAAUAUAUAUACGGGCCAGGUAACAAUUUCCACAUUAUAUUAUGGUCAAAACGUGUUUGUUUAUUAUUAUUUUUUUUAAAUACGUAAAGCUAUAUACAUUUUGUAUUCAAUAUAUAAUAUUAUAUCAUAUUAUAUUUUUAAAUAAAAAAAAAAACUGUUAAUGCUUAAUGUGCACAAUAAAACAAUAACAUUCGCGUGGUUUUACUUUUAUUUUCUAUAUAAACUCCGUGUUCAUAAACGUAGGCUGUAUCCAUGUACUCACUGAAGUCGUACUAUAUAGUAUGAUUAAUACAAACUAUUUCUACAAGCUCGGAACAAUUAAACGAGAUUAAUGCCUCCACUGUACAUUCUAUUACUGUGGUAAUUUCCCUAACAACCCGUGUGUUUUCAUAUGCAAAUUGUUUACCGAACGUUCUUCUUGAAUGGAAACAAUACGAUAUUAUUUUUUAAAACCGUUUUUUUUCACCCAAAAUCAGAAUACACGUGCCUAUAUCUGAGUAUUAUUCGGAUCUGUAAAUGACUGGCUGCGGUGUUGAUGAGAACAUUUUAGCGUGAAAAACAAUAAUUAAACACAAUGGGCAUAUUUCUAUAAUAUUUUACAACCGUACGUCAACUGUAAACUAAUACACUUCUUACACCCGGUGAUAUAAAUCAGCGGUUCUUAACCUUUUAUAGAUCACGGACCCCCUUACCAAUUUAUUUUCGAAUAUAUUUUUUUUUUACAAAACACCUCAUGUUAUUAUAACCAAAAUAAUAAUUAUUAUUUUAUAGGUAUUACAAUUUACAAAUUACAUAAGUAGACAUACAAAACAUACACAUUUAUAAUUAUUUUUACUAUACUAAAUUUUUUAUAAACCUAUAUAUGAGUACGAUCGAUCAACUGCACUUAGUGACAGUAAAAAUACGACUGCCGAAACUACAGUGCUGUACACAUGUACAUUAAUUCGUAUGGACAAGCAAAACUGAUAAAUAAAUAUUAAUAAUACAAUUAAUUUGUGUAGAAUCUACACCUAGUAUCGAACACUGUAAAUACUUAAUUGUAUCGAAUUCCAUUAUAUCUCAUUAUCGGAGCGAUAAAGAUAACACAGGUGUAAUAUAAUAAUAUAUAUGAUAUAUGAAAAAUAACUAAUAAUCCAACAUGACGUAUGUUAUGUGUUAAUGUGCACAUGUUAUGUGUAUUACUGCCACGGACCCCCGACAUGAGUAUUGUGAACCCCCCAGUUAAGAACUGUUGAUAUAAAUGUUUAGCCUGCAAUUGUAUUGAAGCUCAGUGACGUGCUCAGCUGGUGUAUUGUAAAGGAAUAGCUUUACGUACUAAUAUAUAAUAUAUGUAGGUUAGGUAAUUGAUUCACGUGUUAGUAUAUAAGUAUUACUCUAGGGCCUAGAGUCUAGGCAGAGGCCUCCUUGAGUUGUUAUGGUCUCCGAGACGUAAUCUCAUAGCUAAAAACCACAUUCCAUUUUGGCGUACUAAUUAAGGAGAGCGGACAACAACAAAUUGCCAUUACGAGGCGGCAGUUUCACUAAACUACGAGAAUAACAACUUUGUGAACAGCUACAUCCACCUCAAGGACACCCUGUCCACGCGCCAAUACUAUCAAAGGAACCGACAUCGUAUAUAUGAGGACUGGGAGCACAGCAUAAUCAGAUGUACCUGGACCAGCAACACAGAAGCGCCUUCACGCCAAUACCCAUAUACAAGAAGACUACUACUACAACGACGAUAUUAUAAAUUUUAUUCUGUUAUAAUAAAAACAUUGCAUUACUGUUCUAAUUUGACUACCAUUUAUUUUCAAAUCAUCUACAUAGUGAAUCCCUGAAGGGGCAGCACGUAACACUGGCGCAGUCGGUAGGAUAUUCAUUCAAAGGAGGCAACCGUCAAAGGCUACAGUCAACAAGGAGGAAUUGAUCACUCUUCCAAGGCGACAACUCUGAAGAAGAACCAACACAAAACAAAUAAGUCACGUUGCAGCACCAUCAAAUUCAUCAGCAUCAAGGAACACCGUUUUAUUCAACCAAGAACAAUGUCAAUAAUAAUAUAAUUAGAGAACAAAAUAAAUUUGAAACUCCACAUUCAGAUCAAGAUUAUGAACAGGGAUACCUUAUGAAUAAUGUAUUCAACAGUGACGAUUUUCCAUUAUUUCUUCAUUCAGGUUAAUACAACUUACUAUGUAC